rnacentral:tRNA from 1 species
ACGACGAGGAGGAGGAAUGAUUGGGUGUAGUGUUGGUGUUGGUGAUGCGCGUAGGGAAGAAAACGCCA